GCCCAGGUAGCUCAGUCGGUAGAGCAGGGGACUGAAAAUCCCCGUGUCGGCGGUUCGAUUCCGUCCCUGGGCA
rnacentral:tRNA from 2 species